GACGUAGGGCGCGAGCGUUGUCCAGAUUUAUUGGGCGUAAAGAGCUCGUAGGCGGCUCAUUGCGUCAACCGUGAAAACCAGCAGCUCAACUGUUGGCUUGCGGUUGAUACGGGUGGGCUGGAGUUCGGUAGGGGAGACUGGAAUUCCUGGUGUAGCGGUGAAAUGCGCAGAUAUCAGGAGGAACACCGGUGGCGAAGGCGGGUCUCUGGGCCGAUACUGACGCUGAGGAGCGAAAGCGUGGGGAGCGAACAGG
rnacentral:rRNA from 1 species